rnacentral:rRNA from 1 species
UACGGAGGGUGCAAGCGUUAUCCGGAUUUACUGGGUUUAAAGGGUGCGUAGGUGGGCAGGUAAGUCAGUGGUGAAAUCCCCGGGCUUAACCCGGGAACUGCCAUUGACACUAUCUGUCUUGAAUAUCCUGGAGGUGAGCGGAAUAUGUCAUGUAGCGGUGAAAUGCUUAGAUAUGACAUAGAACACCCAUUGCGAAGGCAGCUCACUACGGGAUUAGUGACACUGAGGCACGAAAGCGUGGGGAUCAAACAGG